UUGUAUCAUGAUUCCCGUAAGAAACAUUGUUCCGCUGAAGAAAUUAGCAGGUGGAAUCUUGCGUGACGCCAACAAAAGUGAUGACGCAUUUUUUAUUAUUAAGCGACUUCCUUUCAUUCAUCCUGAGUUCAAUCACGAACACAUUCUUAAAAGGAAACACGGACUUUAUUUGGUCUAAUUUAAAUAUUUACAGACAAGAGCUUUGAGAACGCAACGAGAGCCAUUUUACACUUAACGUUACGCUGUGAUAAUAUUAUUGAAUUAUUAUAACUGUUUUAAGAAUUGAGAAAAUUCAAAAAAUACGAAAACAAAAAGAUAUCGUCAUAAAUGUCUAAUAUAAGCUUAAUGAAUCCUUGCAUGUUAUUUGUCUUGAAUCGCUAAACUAUAAACUUUUUUGAAGUGAAACUUCUUUAUCGGCGUUGGAAAAAAAUUUACCGUCACAUUUUUCGGUUACGCGUCACAUUUUUCCGUUACGCGCCAUCUUUUUUGUAUUCAUGUCUAUGAUAAUAAAAUCCUUUUGUUUAAACUUUAUCUAAUUUAACUUUAUUUAACCAAUUUCUAGAAAGUUGCAUGUAGAUCAUUUUUCGAAAAAUAAGGCCAUAAAAAAGUUUCACUUCUUACGUGUGUACACUAGUACACGCACACAUUUUUUUUUUGUAUUCAUGUCUAUGAUAAUAAAAUCCUUUUGUUUAAACUUUAUCUAAUUUAACUUUAUUUAACCAAUUUCUAGAAAGUUGCAUGUAGAUCAUUUUUCGAAAAAUAAGGCCAUAAAGAAGUUUCACUUCUUACGUGUGUACACUAGUACACGCACACAUUUUUUUCAUAUUUCAGUUACCAUAAGCCAUUAAUUACAAAAAUAUAUAAUGACAAUGACAAUGAUAGUAAUAAUUCUAUUACAAUUAAUGAAAUGCUGUAAUAAUCUUAGUAGCAAAAAGGUAAAGUGAAAUAAUUGUAUUAUUUGUAUUCAUGUCUAUGAUAAUAAAAUCCUUUUGUUUAAACUUUA